rnacentral:rRNA from 1 species
UGAGGAACAUGACUUUCAGUGGGGGAGUAGCCGGCCCAACGGCCGGGUAAUACCGCGUACGACCUCUUGGGGACAUCCCCGGGUGGUGAAAGCAGCAAUGCGCCGAAAGAGUGCCUCGCGGCCUAUCAGCUAGUUGGUGGGGUAAUGGCUCACCAAGGCGACGACGGGUAGCUGGUCUGAGAGGAUGGCCAGCCACAUUGGGACUGAGACACGGCCCAGACUCCUACGGGGAGGNAGCG